rnacentral:rRNA from 1 species
UACGGAGGGUGCAAGCGUUAUCCGGAUUCACUGGGUUUAAAGGGUGCGUAGGUGGGUUGAUAAGUCAGUGGUGAAAUCCCCGAGCUUAACUUGGGAACUGCCAUUGAUACUAUUGAUCUUGAAUACCGUGGAGGUCAGCGGAAUAUGUCAUGUAGCGGUGAAAUGCUUAGAUAUGACAUAGAACACCAAUUGCGAAGGCAGCUGGCUACGCGAAUAUUGACACUGAUGCACGAAAGCGUGGGGUCAAACAGG